rnacentral:lncRNA from 1 species
AAAAAGUGCCGAGAAUGAAUUCUGGUUUUCAGCACGGUCUUGGUAGUUUAGCACGCCCCGUGAGCACACCCGUGCUUAUCAACACGAGCGUGUUGUGGGCAACCAAACCGUGUUGAGAGAAAAAUUAGACUUCAUUACAUUUUUCGAGAGCGACACGAGCUAUGAACAUGUAUGUGUCAUGUAACAUGCCUAUAUUGAGGGCACCCACACCAUGUUGAU